GUGCCAGCAGCCGCGGUAAUACCGGCAGCCCAAGUGAUGGCCGAUCUUAUUGGGCCUAAAGCGUCCGUAGCUGGCUGCGCAAGUCCGUCGGGAAAUCCACUCGCCCGACGAGUGGGCGUCCGACGGAAACUGCACAGCUUGGGACCGGAAGGCUCGAAGGGUACGUUCGGGGUAGGAGUGAAAUCCCAUAAUCCCGCACGGACCACCGAUGGCGAAAGCACGUCGGGAAGACGGAUCCGACGGUGAGGGACGAAAGCCAGGGUCUCCAACCGGAUUAGAAACCCUUGUAGUCC
rnacentral:rRNA from 1 species